ACAAAUAUUUCGUAUGUGACUAUUUAUUGUACUACUUCAGGGAAUUGUCUCCCUGGUACCUACAGAUUUUUAAACGUUUAACUAGUGUAUACAGAAUCAAGUUUAUUGUUGUAAUAUUUCGCUCAAUAUGCACAUGCAUUAUGAUACUUUAAUACGGAAAACUUUGUAAUGUGGUUCAAUACCGUCACAACUGCCUGUCGCAUGCAUUCCCUUUUCUUUAACAACACAUCAAAAUGUUUAGUUAAUUAAACCUGCAGCCAUAAACCAAAGUCUCCGUUGCUGUUUCACACAUUACGAGAAAGCAUUCUAAACAUUUCUGCUCUACAUGUGAAACUUGACGCCAUCGUCAAUAACGUCAAAGGAAGCACACCGUUUUGUAAUUUCAUUCACGUCGGAAGUAAUUCUGCGAAUCACGAGGCUGCCGUGCGAAACUAAUUAACAACCGACGUAGCAAUGAACACGUUUUGUGAGCCGUCACGACUGCCGCCGUACGUUUAAAUUGAAAUCCAAUCACGUUUGAUAAUGACCAAACAGAGACUUAUAUUAAUAACAAUAAAGAUAAAAUUACCUUUUAACAGACGUUUAAUAUGCCGAGAGAAAUAAUUUUGUAAAACUGCAUUUUUUCCUAAUGAGCACAAAGCAGUCGAUUAUUUUUUUCUUAAGCAUGUCACGAUCGACGGGCUACUAAACUUUCCGGAGUUGUGGUUAUUGGCGAUGACAUCGAUAGCUGUGACUUGUUAAGUGUCCGUAAAAGCGGUUAAAGGCCACUUAUGCCUCAAGUGUAAGAGUUGGCAGUUUGAUGUUUUACUCCUAUUGCGGGAAAUAACAUUCCAAACGUAAUUGCUUUUAACUCAAUUCGUAUCAACAACUCCGAAGACUAAUUACGCUUGUAAAAGCUACACAAUUUUAGUUGAAGCAUUGUAAUUGUGUUGUUUUUUUUCAUAAAUAAUAUUUUUUUCAUUUCUACUAAAUAAAUGCCCAUUUUAAUUUGCAAAACAAUAAAUAAAAUAUGUUAUAAUUUUUUAAAUAUUUAUUUGUCGACAUUUCAGUAAGAAAUAGAUAAUAAAUAAUUAUGGCAUUGUUCAUACUAA